GGUUUUGUGGUGUAGUGGUUAUCACUCCUGUCUUACAUGUACGUGAUCACAGGCGGUCGUCGGUUCGAACCCGGCCAAAACCA
rnacentral:tRNA from 1 species